rnacentral:rRNA from 1 species
UUUGAUGGCGACCGGCGCACGGGUGAGUAACACGUAUCCAACCUGCCGAUGACUCGGGGACAGCCUUUCGAAAGAAAGAUUAAUACCCGAUGGCAUAGUUCUUCCGCAUGGUAGAACUAUUAAAGAAUUUCGGUCAUCGAUGGGGAUGCGUUCCAUUAGGUUGUUGGCGGGGUAACGGCCCACCAAGCCUUCGAUGGAUAGGGGUUCUGAGAGGAAGGUCCCCCACAUUGGAACUGAGACACGGUCCAA